UGGGGAAUUUUGCACAAUGGGGGAAACCCUGAUGCAGCGACGCCGCGUGAUUUAGAAGGCCUUCGGGUUGUAAAAAUCUUUUCUAUGGGAAGAAAAUGACAGUACCAUAGGAAUAAGGACCGGCUAAUUACGUACCAGCAGCCGCGGUAAUACGUAAGGUCCGAGCGUUGUCCGGAAUCAUUGGGCGUAAAGGGUACGUAGGCGGGUAAGCAAGUUAGAAGUGAAAUCCUAUAGCUCAACUAUAGUAAGCGUUUAAAAAUGCUCAUGUUGAGGUAUGGAAGGGAAAGUGGAAUUCCUCGUGUAGCGGUGAAAUGCGCAGAUAUUAGGAGGAAUACCGGUGGCGAAGGCGACUUUCUGGCCAUAACCUGACGCUGAGGUACGAAAGCGUGGGUAGCAAACAGG
rnacentral:rRNA from 1 species